UACGAAGGGGGCUAGCGUUGUUCGGAAUUACUGGGCGUAAAGCGCGCGCAGGCGGUCUUCCAAGUCAGUGGUGAAAGCCCGGAGCUCAACUCCGGAACUGCCAUUGAAACUGUUGGACUUGAGUAUGAGAGAGGUGAGUGGAAUUCCCAGUGUAGAGGUGAAAUUCGUAGAUAUUGGGAAGAACACCGGUGACGAAGGCGGCUCACUGGCUCAUUACUGACGCUCAGGCGCGACAGCGUGGGGAUCAAACAGG
rnacentral:rRNA from 1 species